AGAUAGCAGGAGUGAAAAUUGAUUUGCGCCGUUUUAAAUUAAAGUUUUUCGUGUCGUGUUCGCUCUAGUUUUGCUUCGAACAGAUUGCUCGUUUACGCAACCAUCGAUCACCUUUAUUGGAUAAUCGUGCAAUCUAAUUCUGUAAGCCCUCUCACCAGUCUGGUGGGACAUAGUUGCAUUAUAUUCAAUGCAGCACAGAUUCCUCAACCGAAACUAAGGCCGAUAGCGGGAAAGAUCCCAGGCAAGCUCAUUCAAUCCAAGAGUCAAAGACUUAUU